UACGAAGGGGGCUAGCGUUGCUCGGAAUUACUGGGCGUAAAGGGCGCGUAGGCUGUCAUGUUAGUCGGGUGUGAAACCCCCGGGCUCAACCUGGGAACUGCACUCGAUACGGCAUGGCUUGAGGACGAGAGAGGGUGGUGGAACUCCCAGUGUAGAGGUGAAAUUCGUAGAUAUUGGGAAGAACACCAGUGGCGAAGGCGGCCACCUGGCUCGUUCCUGACGCUGAGGCGCGAAAGCGUGGGGAGCAAACAGG
rnacentral:rRNA from 1 species